rnacentral:tRNA from 1 species
GCCGGUGUGGCUCAAUGGUUGAGUGUCUAUCUAUGAACCAGGAGGUCAAGGUUCGAUUCCUUGGUCAGGGCA